UACGUAGGGUGCAAGCGUUUGUCCGGAAUUAUUGGGCGUAAAGAGCUCGUAGGCGGUUUGUCGCGUCUGCUGUGAAAACCCGAGGCUCAACCUCGGGCCUGCAGUGGGUACGGGCAGACUAGAGUGCGGUAGGGGAGAUUGGAAUUCCUGGUGUAGCGGUGAAAUGCGCAGAUAUCAGGAGGAACACCAACAGCGAAGGCAGAUCUCUGGGACGUACUGACGCUGAGACGACGAAGCUGGGGAGCAACAGG
rnacentral:rRNA from 1 species